ensembl:lncRNA
CAUAAAUGGCACUCUGAUUUGAGCUAUUUCUAGGCAAAGAGCAUACACUGAAACCAGAAAUUAUUUUCACAGUUUUAUGGAGCUGUGUUUUUAAUUUUGUUAAGGAGAAGCAGACAAGAAAAUGUGUCACAUUUUCCAGCAAUUCACAUGAAACCUCAGUGUACUCUCUGAAACUCUUGGUACCCCUGAUUCUUCUUAUCCAGGAGCGUCAGCAAUUUGGAGAGCCCACAGCUCGCGCCAGCAGCCAAAAAGAAAACAAGGAUGAGGGAACGCCGCUUCUUUGCAUGCGAGACUUGGCCGUGCCUUACCAAACCCAAACCCAAUUCAUCAUCUUCCAGACACUAUUUCAUAGCAACAAUUUUGCUGUCUCUUUAAUGCAUCUGUCUGUUUAUCUCUUCUCAAGUACCAUCUGCUUGUCCUGCUCUCUCGCACCGCACAUGUUCACAGCGAAGACACCUCCAAGGUGACAAAUGAGCAGUCGAGCUAAUUUCAUUGGGAUAAACAAGAAAGCAAGAGCCAGAUGGAAAGCCAUGGAGAGAGCCAAUGUCAUCUGGGGGGAGGAGAGAGUGUUUGGAGGAAGAAUCACCAUAACAACGUCAUGGGAUGACCAAAGUCAACAGAACAGAAGACCUUCAUGUACCCCAGAACUUUUCCUGAACAAACAUCAGGAACUCUGGAAGGCAACAUCAUCCAGGCACCCUGACAGGCCUCUUGCAGUCUGCAAGGACAACAGUGCAAGAGGAAAAUAUUUGGUCAUCUCAAAUGCAGGAGAUUUGCUCUAUUUUCAGCAGCACCCCUCCUUUCCCCUGCCCACAGCACAAACGUCCAGGUGCUUCCGAGGAUCAGGCCUGGCCUGGGCAGCCCUCAGUAUCUUUAUAGCCCUUUGACCUUUUCUUCUGCCUUUUUAAAGCUCCGUUAUUUCUGUUUCAAACACUCUUGUCCAUCUGGGGAUGCAUAGAUGGAUGGAUCUGCAACUGGAGACCUUCUGUUCAUUGCCAAGGUGGAAAAAGCCAAAGGACUCAGCUGGCAAUGGACAUUUGCCCACUAGCAUUGCUUGCAAUUAUUUUCACAUACCCUGGAUGAAAUGACCAUAAUCCACAUUCUCCCUCUAAGUACACAAGGCCUUUGGAUGAGUAAGCAGCACCCUGAAAUCAGUGAAGCACCUGCAUAAUGUGCAGGUGGUCUGGAGAGAAUUACUGCUUCCCAGGGCUACCAGGAUUAUAUAAUAUUUAAAAAAGAUAAAUCCACAGAACAAGCCUUAUAUAACUUUUUUUUUUAAAUGCUUCUUCAUCUAUCCCUUUGUUAACCUGGCCUUACACUGACUGCAUUUGUUGAGGAUCUCACUCCCACUGUACCUGAAUUAAAACAUAAUAUGUCUUUUGGCAAGAUCAAAGCUGGAAAUUUAUACCAGGACAAGGGCCUGUGAAAACCCUUUAAAAAAUCAAUUUCCAGUACAAAAAUUCAAAUGCAAUAGCUUCUGUUUAAUCUUUUCAGAAUGCAUAUUUGACUAAGAUUUACAUGCCCAUAAAUUAUUUCAAAAUGGUACAGCUCUCAAACAAAAGUACAGUCUUCAUAAACAAUAAUCACCUUUGUUGUUGAUUGUAGUGAUGGGCAAUAGAAAAUCUGCUGCUGCAUUUACCAGGUUCUGCAAAUGGAUUAGACACGUGAUAAAGGGGGGAAAAAAAACCAAAAAAAAAAAUCUGUGGUACGGCUCUGACCCAAAAAGCCACACCUGCUCCUGCAGUUGCACCAUCUCAAAUCACCUUUAUUAGAGCUCUUUGCACAAACUUUGCCCUCCUGCAGCCUGCAAAGCUGCAUAUCAGGGAGCUCUGGAUUAGGAUUGCCAAGUGAAUGAAGGUUACUUUUCUAGCGGGUGCAGUGUCAGGA